CGCGGUAUAUUGACUGUGCAAAGGUAGCAUAAUCAUUAGUCUUUUAAUAGGAGGCUGGAAUGAAGGGUUUAACGAAACAUAUUCUGUCUCUUUUGUAAAUUUUGAAUUUAUCUUUUUAGUGAAAAGACUAAAAUUUAAUUGGUGGACGAGAAGACCCUAUAGAGCUUUACAUUAGGGGUUAAUUAGUUUUAUUUUGUUUUAAUUUGUUAAAAUUGAUUUGUUUAUUGUUUUGUUGGGGUGACAAGAAAUAUUUAAUUAACUUUUUUAUUUUAUAUACAUUAAUUUAUGGUUUUUUGAUCCAUUAAUAUUGAUUAUUAGAAUAAGUUACCUUAGGGAUAACAGCGUAAUCUUCUUUGGAAGUUCAAAUUUACAGGGAGGUUUGCGACCUCGAUGUUGGAUUAAGAUUAUAAUUAGGUGCAGUAGCUUAAUUAAUAGGUCUGUUCGAC
rnacentral:rRNA from 1 species